AGGCUGUAACACAAAUCUACAAUAACCACAUCCAGAUUUGUUGUGUGCGGCGUGGUGACGCGUCCAACAGGCACCGCUCCUCCGGCGGCAACGAGGGGCGGAGUUAACCAACUUUCAUACUAACUGGAGCGGACGACGGAUAGAUAUGUGCUCACUCGGAGCAGUUGACCCUUUGUUAGGGUUAAAGUGAUUAUUUGUCGUUAUCUUUUCCGUAGCUUUCUAACUCUUGGCGCAGCGUCAAAAUGAUGCGCUUCCUGCUGCUCUUCAGUCGCCAGGGGAAGCUGCGUCUGCAGAAGUGGUUCACUCCCAUGUCGGAACGUGAGAAGAAGAAGAUUAUCAGGGACAUGACCACAAUGGUGUUGGCACGGCAACCCCGCUCCUGUAACUUCCUGCACUGGAAAGACCUGAAGAUUAUUUACAAGAGGUAUGCAAGCUUGUACUUCUGCUUGGCCAUAGAGAACCAGGAGAAUGAGCUGAUAGCCCUGGAGGUUAUUCAUCGCUAUGUGGAGCUGCUGGACAAAUACUUUGGCAAUGUGUGUGAGCUGGACAUAAUCUUUAACUUUGAGAAGGCCUAUUUUAUCCUGGAUGAGUUUCUAAUGGGAGGAGAAAUACAAGAAACCUCCAAACAAAUGGUGAAUCGCUCCAUUGAAGCCUCGGACAUGUUACAGGAGGAUGACAGCAGUGAGUGGUUUGAGGUGGAGCUGUUUGGAUGACAAGGAAUAUGGACAGAAAGGUUAGAUGUUCUGCUUGUGUUAGUUGGUGUGCUCGGCACUUAAUAACAGACCAUGGAGGAGUAUAUGAGCAAACCUGCAUUUUAACCCAUGGGGAAGAAGGACCUAAAGGAACAGCGGGGGAGGAACCCAGGAACCGAAUGUACUGUAUUUGAGUCAUAGAAGUUUCUGAAUAUGGAUAUGGAAUUUACUUUGAUUCUAUUGAACCUUUUCAAAAGAAGAAAAGGGAAUGUCUUCUCACCUUCUGCCUGAAGCUUUGCUGCGAUGUAACUGCCUUUUAAAACUAAUAGUAUGAUAUUUGUCCUGCGCUCCACUGAAGGAAGGGGGGGAGGGUUGUUUUCACAUUGAUUUCCGUUAUUGAAAUGUAAAUGAAGUAGUAAUAGGAUCUGGGGUGUAAAAAGGGAUCUUAGGGGUAUGAAUUUGUUGAGUUUAUAUUUAAAUCGUAUAUAUGAUUUAUAUGAUAUAUUUAAAGUGAAUGAUUUUAUUCCAAAAACACUACCCAACAAUUGUGCUAAUCUGCAACUCCACUUUAUACAAAAAAAUAAAUGUGAUUUCAGUCUUAAAAACAAGCGCUUUCAACAGAUUGGAGUGAGACUGAUUUAAUAAUGAAUUUCCUAUUGUUUUUAAUCAUCUGUAUAUGCCUAUUUCACAUGUGUGCGACCGUUUGUAUUUAAAAGGAAUAGUUGCUGUGGGUAUCGUGCGAUUCAUGAUGUUGGAGCUUAUAAUUAAAAAGUGCCUUUUGAUAAACA